CAGGUGGAGAGAAGUAUGUAAAUAUGACUCACAUGCCAAGAGCACAUUUUAGUGAGCAGCAGGCAUUUAAGUCAGACGGUCUUCUUUUUUUAACUCCCAGGUGGAAUUUUGUGGCGCUUUUAUUUUUCCGGCAGGAAGUCAACUUCUUGUAGUCAAGCAUGUCGGAGCCGGCAGAACUGCUGCUGAUCAAGGACCAGUACGAGCUGGCCUUCCAGGUCCUGAGCCGGGGUGUGUCCCUGGAGGAGGGCGGUGACCGGGCCAAGGCGGAGGAGUACUACCUCAAGGGCCAGCAGCACCUCAUGCACGGGCUGGGGGUGCCCACCUCGGGGCCCCGUCACCAGGGGCCCCUGUGGGACCGGGCCAGGGAGCUGCAGCGGCGGAUGCAGGGCACCCUGGCCACCUUCAGCACCCACCUCUCCGGCCUGGACGCCUCGCACGCGCCCCCUGCUGGCCAGAGGCGGCGGCUGCUCAUGGCGCUCACCCCCAGCCUCUACCCGCCGGUGCCCGCCCACAACCCCCUCCAGCACCUCUACCCCUCCAUCCCUCCCGGCGCCGGCCCCCUCAACACGCUCCCGCCCCUCCCGGCCAGGAGAGCCCCGCCCGACAUGUCCGAGCCCCCGGCCCAGGCCCAGGCCCAGGCUCUGCCCCCGGUCUACAGCCCGCAGCCCGCGGACGGACACCUCAGCCUGGCACACACCCCGGCACCGGGGGAGUGGAGCGGAGCCGAACUGGAGAACCGGAGCGAGCUGCUGCUGAUCCCCUCGGGGGUGCAGAUGUUCUUCGUGGCGCCCGGCGGGCAGGUGAGCGCCCUCUCCCAGCCCGGGUACCUCCGCAUCGUUGCCUUCGACGCCCAGUCCCAGGACCCGGCCGGUGGACGCGGGCCGGUCUUUCUGGAUGUGUGUGGCUGGCUGUACCCCCUCAGCCCCUCCCUGCCGGUGCUGCUGGCCCCCUCCCACAUCUUCAUGUUCCCUGACACCUUGGCACCUGUGUCAGGUGCAUUUGUGGGCGUGGUCUUGUCCUCCCAGCUGCCUGCUGAGGACCGGGACGUCUUCCAUGACCUCAUCAAGCAGCUGACGGACUUCAGGGUGCAGAGUCCGGACGACGCGGGGUCAGGGGUCAUCAGCCUGAGUGAGACGGUGCCCCUGGGUCCCCAGGUCAUGUUGCCGGGGGCAACGGCAACGGUGAAGGAAAAAGCCCCGCUGCCCACCUGGAGUGAGAAGAUGGGCGGGGGGAUCUUGUCAGGGGCGACCGUGUUGGGUCAGGAGGUGGUCCGAGGGGCGGAGGCCACCACCAGGGCCAUCAACCAGGGGGCGCUGAAGAUCCGGGCCCGCCUCUCGCCCCAAGAAACGCCCUCUGAGGUCAGCCCGCACCUCACCAGGAGCCUGAAUGUGGCCAAACAGGCCACAGAGGGCGCCAAGCGCGUCAGUCAGUUCUUAGUGGACGGCGUGAGCACGGUGGCAGAACACCUGGCGGAGAAGGUGGCCCCUCACCUGAAGAAGCACGGCGCCAAGAUGAUCCCGGAGUCCAUGAAGGGCAAAGAAGGGGAGCCGUCCAACAUGGAGGGGGCCAAAUUUGUGGCCGUCAGCGGCUUACAAGGUUUCACCGCCGUGUGGACCAGUCUGGAGACCAGCGCCAAGCUGAUCGGCAGGAGCGUGUCGUCGGCGACGGUGCAAACGGUGACGUACAAUCUGGAGGUGUUUCUGCUAAAGCUCAUGUCGGGUGUUGGCGUCCAAUUAAAACCGGCUGAAAGAAGGCCAUCUUGUCCCUGGCACUCACCUGUGACCACACCCGGGGCCAAAGGUACGGCGACGACGCGGGCCAGGCCACCGACACGGCGCUGCGGUCGGCCACCAACGUGGUGGUGACGGCGCACAACAUCGACAAUCUGGGCAUCAAAGCCGUCCUGAAGACCACGGGCAAGGAGGCGGCCAAGGCCAUGGUCAAGAAGAAGGAGGGGGCCCAGGAGGAGCCGGAAGUGCCGCGGGACCAAGACCCGAAGAAGAAGGUGGAAGAAGGCAAGAAAUAGAACUACAGUCCUAUCUGUCAUGGAAAUACAUCUUAAAUAAUAUUUAAUACACCCAGAAUUAAGUGGAAUAAAAGUGCCAAGAGGUGACAUAUAACAAGUAAUAAUAACACAUCGCUCAAAACAUAAUAAUGAAUCAGAAUCAAUGUUGUUAUGAAUUAUUGACAUAUUUGAGGCUCCGAUUAGUUUGCAUUAAAUAUUUCACUUUGACAUUUUUUUGGGGCAGGAAAAUGUUGCAUAUUUGGUGUGUUUGACGUAAAAAAAACAAUGUUUUAUUUGGCAAAAAGGUAUAAAACAAAAACUUUAAAAAAGUAAUAAAAGCUUAAAAUUGACGGAUAGAUCGGAAGGUGGAAAAAAAAAAAGAAAAACUAUUUUAACAUUUUGAGUGGGUACUUUUGGAUUCCCAAUAAUUUCUGUGUUUUUUUUUCUUUAAAACUGUCAUUGUUAAUAAAUAAUAAUGAAUCAAAAUCAAUGUUGUUAUGAAUUAUUGACAUAUUUAAGGCUCCGAUUAGUUUGCAUUAAAUAUUUCACUUUGACAUUUUUUUGGGGCAGGAAAAUGUUGCAUAUUUGGUGUGUUUGACGUAAAAAAAACUAUGUUUUAUUUGGCAAAAAGGUAUAAAACAAAAACUUUAAAAAAGUAAUAAAAGCUUAAAAUUGACGGAUGGAUCGGAAGGUGGAAAAAAAAAAAGAAAAACUAUUUUAACAUUUUGAGUGGGUACUUUUGGAUUCCCAAUAAUUUCUGUGUUUUUUUUUCUUUAAAACUGUCAUUGUUAAUAAAUAAUAAUGAAUCAAAAUCAAUGUUGUUAUGAAUUAUUGACUUAUUUAAGGCUCCGAUUAGUUCACAUUAAAUAUUACACUUUGACAUUUUUUGGGGCAGGAAAACAUUGCAUAUUUUGUGUGUUUGACAUAAAAAAAUAAGUUUUAUUUGACAAAAAGGUACAAAACAAAAAACAUAAAAAAGUAAUAAAAGCUUAAAAUUGAUGGAUGAAUCGUAAGUUGGUAAAAAAAAAAAAAAAAGAAAGAAAAAAAUUAUUAUUAUUAUUUACUUAUCAUCGAUUAUUUUUGACUUAUUGUUUCACAUCAAAUAUUACACUUUGACAUUUUUGGGGGGAAAGUCUUGCAUAUUUUGUGUGUUUGACAUAAAAAAAGAAGUUUUAUUUGAGGAAAAGGUACAAAACAUAAAAAAGUAACAAAAGCUUAAAAUUGAUGGAUGAAUCGUAAGUUGGUAAAAAAAAAAAAAAAAAAAAAAUUAUGACUUAUUUUAACAUAUUGAGUGGGUACUUUUUGGAUUCCCAAUAAUUUCAGUUUUUUUUUUCUUUAAAACUGUCAUUGUUAAUAAAAAAUAAUGAAUCAAAAUCAAUGUUGUUAUGAAUUUUUGACAUAUUUACGGCUCCAAUUAGUUUGCAUUAAAUAUUUCACUUUGACAUUUUUUGGGGCAGGAAAAUGUUGCAUAUUUCGUGUGUUUGACGUAAAAAAAAACAUGUUUUAUUUGGCAAAAAGGUAUAAAACAAAAACAUUAAAAAAGUAAUAAAAGCUUAACAUUGACGGAUAGAUCGGAAGGUGGUUAAAAAAAAAGAAAAAAAAUAUGACUUAUUUUAACAUAUUGAGUGGGUACUUUUUGGAUUCCCAAUAAUUUACGUGUUUUUUUUUUCUUUAAAACUGUCAUUGUUAAUAAAUAAUAAUGAAUCAAAAUCAAUGUUGUUAUGAAUUAUUGACAUAUUCAAGGCUCCGAUUAGUUUGCAUUAAAUAUUUCACUUUGACAUUUUUUGGGGCAGGAAAAUAUUGCAUAUUUUGUGUGUUUGACAUAAAAAAAGAAGUUUUAUUUGAGGAAAAGGUACAAAACAUAAAAAAGUAACAAAAGCUUAAAAUUGAUGGAUGAAUCGUAAGUUGGUAAAAAAAAAAAUAAAAAAAAAAUUAUGACUUAUUUUAACAUAUUGAGUGGGUACUUUUUGGAUUCCCAAUAAUUUCUGUUUUUUUUUCUUUAAAACUGUCAUUGUUAAUAAAUAAUAAUGAAUCAAAAUCAAUGUUGUUAUGAAUUAUUGACAUAUUUGAGGCUCCGAUUAGUUUGCAUUAAAUAUUUCACUUUGACAUUUUUUGGGGGCAGGAAAAUGUUGCAUAUUUCGUGUGUUUGACAUAAAAAAAAAACAUGUUUUAUUUGACAAAAAGGUAUAAAACAAAAACAUUAAAAAAGUAAUAAAAGCUUAACAUUGACGGAUAGAUCGGAAGGCGGUUAAAAAAAAAGAAAAA